rnacentral:sRNA from 1 species
GGUUCUCGAAGCUUUGCUCGUGUUGCCAUAGUUCUUAUUUGUCUUUCGCUUUGUAUCUUCUAACAUGGAAACACUACAUAGGCUUUUAAGAUCCGAUUUCAGUUCCAGUUCUUAUACUCAAUCAUACACAUGCCAUCUAGUCAUAUUUGAAUCCAAAAUACUAUCAAGUUUCUUCUUGCUUCUCAAAGCUUUGAUGGUGUAGUUGAAGCCCAUAUGAGUCUUUGGCUUUGUAUCUUCUAACAAGGAAACAUUA